rnacentral:rRNA from 1 species
GGAGUUAGCCGGUGCUUCUUCUGCGAGUAACGUCACAGAUGUAAGGUAUUAACUUACACCCUUUCCUCCUCGCUGAAAGUGCUUUACAACCCGAAGGCCUUCUUCACACACGCGGCAUGGCUGCAUCAGGGUUUCCCCCAUUGUGCAAUAUUCCCCACUGCUGCCUCCCGUAGGAGUCUGGGCCGUGUCUCAGUCCCAGUGUGGCUGAUCAUCCUCUCAGACCAGCUAGGGAUCGUCGCCUAGGUGAGCCUUUACCUCACCUACUAGCUAAUCCCACCUGGGCUUAUCCAUCAGCGCAAGGCCCGAAGGUCCCCUGCUUUCCCCCGUAGGGCGUAUGCGGUAUUAGCAGUCGUUUCCAACUGUUAUCCCCACAACUGGGCAAAUUCCCAGGCAUUACUCACCCGUCCGCCGCUCGUCAUCUUCAAAGCAAGCUUUUGAAUGUUACCGCUCGACUUGCAUGUGUUAGGCCUGCCGCCAGCGUUCAAUCUGAGCCAUAAUCAAACUCUGA